GGGCGGUCUUUGCUCUCACCCCUUGAUUUGGGACGCGUGUCUUGAAAGACAGACGGGAGAGAAAGGACCACCCAGUCGCAGAAGGCAAGGCUAGGAGACGCGCUCGCCCGCCCUUUAGGCAAAGGAGGGAAGCCCGCGUAUUGUGUACUGGGCUCCGAAACAGCCCCGGGGACUGGAAAAGGAACUCCCUCUCUGGGGCAUGAGGCGGAGGGCUGCCAAAGCCAACUAGACUCUCCUGGUGGGGCCGGACGAAGUAGAGAGAGACAGGGGGAGGCAGGAGGAGAGCCUGGAAAUCCCUGCGAGCCCUAGCGGAGAGGUUCCCUGCCCGGGGCGGGGCGCUGGAGAGCUUCCCAGAAACGGAAGGCGUCGGGGAGAACUUAUCCUGGAACUGCUGGACAGCUCCGGGACCUAGAGCGCCCCCUGCCAAACAGCGCCGAGAACCGGACUCUUGGUUCUCCAGAACCAGCACACAGCAGGAGACAAGGGCAGCAGAGCGAGUGUGCCUGUCCACGCUGAAAAGAAGAAAUGAUAGGAAAAACUGCACCAAGCUGGACAACGUCUAUCAUUAUACACAAGAUUUACCCCACUAAAGGCCAACCUUGCAGAGAAGAGCCUCUGCUGAGCCUCAGAGCUUGGGGUGAAACCCUGGGGGAAGAUCAUCUAAGCACCAAUUAACCCACAUCUAACACCUGGGUCAUAAGAUGGCCAUGAAGCAGAUUGCUCUCAUUUGAUCUUCAAGUUAUCCUCCAGAACCAUUAACCAUAGGUAAGCAC
rnacentral:lncRNA from 1 species